GUACUGUUAGCUCAAAGGAAGAGCAUUGAUUUUGUAGUUCAAAGGCUAUGAGUUCAAGUCUCAUACAGUACA
rnacentral:tRNA from 1 species